UACAGAGGGGGCAAGCGUUGUUCGGAAUUACUGGGCGUAAAGGGCGCGUAGGCGGCCUGCUAAGUCGAACGUGAAAUCCCCGGGCUCAACCCGGGAACUGCGUCCGAUACUGGCAGGCUUGAAUUCGGGAGAGGGAUGUGGAAUUCCAGGUGUAGCGGUGAAAUGCGUAGAUAUCUGGAGGAACACCGGGUGGCGAAGGCGGCAUCCUGGACCGAUAUUGACGCUGAUGCGCGAAAGCCAGGGGGAGCAAACGGGG
rnacentral:rRNA from 1 species